CUUGCUUAAUUAUUUAUUAUGGCGUUAAUUUAUAUGUGAAUUUGUGUAAAUGAGAUUCCUAGAAGGAAUUUUGAAUUAAAUUUUGUGCAGUAGAUAAUAUUAUUGAUAUUAAGUUAAUUUAGAUUUUAUAAACGUUUUAAGGUUUGGUAAAAACUGUGCCAGCAUCCGCGGUUAUACAGUGAAAUCAAAUAAAUAUUAUUGGCUUUGGAGUAAUUAAUAUGAGUUUGGAAUAUAAUAAUUAAAGUAUUUUAAGGUGAAAUAUUUAUUAUACUUUGAGGAAUAUAAAAUUUAGUAUGAUUAUUAUGAGAUUGAAAUUAUAAACUAGGAUUAGAUACCCUAUUAUUUUUAUUGUGAAAAUAUAAGCUAGAGUAUUAAUAGUUAUGGUCUUUAAACUUAAAGAAUUUGGCGGUAUUAUAGUCUAUUUAGAGGAAUCUGUUAUGUAAUCGAUAGUCCACGUUGAACCUUACUUAUAUUUUUUCUUGUAUAUCGCUGUUUAAGAAUAUACUUUUAGGUGAUUUUCUGGAUAUAUAAUUAAUUAAUAUUUCAAGUCAAGGUGCAGUUAUGUAUAAGUUGAAUAAUGGAUUACAAUAAAAUUUAUUUAUAUGAAUUGUUAUUGAAAUAUAACUUGAAGGUGGAUUUAAUUGUAAUUUUAUAAAGAUUAUUAAAAUGAUUUAAAGCUCUAUAAUAUGCACACAUCGCCCGUCACUCUCGUUAUUAAGAUGAGAUAAGUCGUAACAAAGUAGGUGUAUCGGAAGAUGUACCUAGAAAGUAA
rnacentral:ncRNA from 1 species